rnacentral:rRNA from 1 species
UGGGGAAUAUUGCACAAUGGGCGCAAGCCUGAUGCAGCCAUGCCGCGUGUAUGAAGAAGGCCUUCGGGUUGUAAAGUACUUUCAGCGGGGAGGAAGGGAGUAAAGUUAAUACCUUUGCUCAUUGACGUUACCCGCAGAAGAAGCACCGGCUAACUCCGUGCCAGCAGCCGCGGUAAUACGGAGGGUGCAAGCGUUAAUCGGAAUUACUGGGCGUAAAGCGCACGCAGGCGGUUUGUUAAGUCAGAUGUGAAAUCCCCGGGCUCAACCUGGGAACUGCAUCUGAUACGGGCAAGCUGGAGUCUCGUAGAGGGGGGUAGAAUUCCAGGUGUAGCGGUGAAAUGCGUAGAGAUCUGGAGGAAUACCGGUGGCGAAGGCGGCCCCCUGGACGAAGACUGACGCUCAGGUGCGAAAGCGUGGGGAGCAAACA